rnacentral:lncRNA from 1 species
UAGGGUAAAUUUGGGGGUAUGACAAGACUGCUUCCACCCAUUUAGUGAAAUAAUGAAUGACUACUAAGAUAAAGCGAUGCCCAUUUGAGGCAGUCGGCUCGAUGCUCCCAAUAAUAUCAAUGCCCCACAUGGAGAAAGGCCACGGUGAUGUUAAGACAUUGAGUGGCACUGGUGGCACAUGUAUCUUAUCAAUGUAAAUCUGACAUUUAUGAUAUGUUUGUACGUGGCGGUAG